GGAAUUGUACUUUAAUAUAAAAGACCUGAUUUGCAUUCAAGCAAUGGGAUUUUUUCCCCAAUUCCA
rnacentral:tRNA from 1 species